rnacentral:lncRNA from 1 species
GUUAACAGUUUCCUUUUUUUAUGAUGAAGCACUGAUUCACAACCUUCAUUAAAAUUAAUUCACCUGUAAAAACAAGGAUCUGAGCUCCAAGAGUAGGACCAACCAGAGAGCCCAGCCUCCACCCCACAUUCUCACCAGCAACCCCUCGGAAGUGUGCAGACCAAGUGGUUGUGCAAAUGAAGGAAGACAAAUGAGCUGGGCACAGUGAGUGGUCUCUACUCCUUUUCCCUCUCUUCCUGUCAAGAAUAUACUCA